CUGGUCGCGAGAUCAGCCGGUAAGCUGAGAGACCCACGCAGUCGGACUCUUCAGAUUAUCUCCUCAUCAGGCUAAUCACGGUUUUUGACCCGGCACUUUGCCGGGUCUUUUUUUG
rnacentral:sRNA from 1 species